UACCAGCACCCCGAGUGGUCGGGACGAUUAUUGGGCCUAAAGCAUCCGUAGCCGGUUCUGCAAGUCCCCCGUUAAAUCCAGCUGCUCAACAGAUGGGCCGCGGAGGAUACUACAGAGCUAGGAGGCAGGAGAGGCAAGCGGUACUCAGUGGUAGGGGUAAAAUCCGUUGAUCCAUUGAAGACCACCAGUGGCGAAGGCGGCUUGCCAGAAUGCGCUCGACGGUGAGGGAUGAAAGCUGGGGAGCAAACCGG
rnacentral:rRNA from 1 species